rnacentral:lncRNA from 1 species
UUUUUUCUUGAAACCCGGAAAAUUUUGAUAAUUGUUCUUUUGCCGUAAAGAGUCAAGAGCAUUCACUUAGGGUGAGUAAGAAAUAAGUUGGGGAGAACGAAAAAGAGAAUCGGUUAGUGCCACAACUCUUGAAAAACCGAGCAAGCAUUGAAAAUAAAAAAAAAAUAAAAAUAUAGAAAAGAGAAACAUCUGUUUUGUAAAUAUGAUGUGAAAGAAAAGAAAAAAUAGAAAAAAUGAAAAUGAAUGCUUGCUUGGAAGAAAAAUAGUGAAAAACAAAAAUUUGAGUUGUGAAAUAAGAGU